rnacentral:rRNA from 1 species
GACGAACGCUGGCGGCGUGCUUAACACAUGCAAGUCGAGCGGUAAGGCCCUUUCGGGGGUACACGAGCGGCGAACGGGUGAGUAACACGUGGGUGACCUGCCCUCAGCUCUGGGAUAAGCCUGGGAAACCGGGUCUAAUACUGGAUAUGACUCCAUGACGCAUGUUGUGGGGUGGAAAGCCUUGUGCGGCUGAGGAUGGGCCCGCGGCCUAUCAGCUUGUUGGUGGGGUGAGGCCUACCAAGGCGACGACGGGUAGCCGGCCUGAGAGGGCGACCGGCCACACUGGGACUGAGACACGGCCCAGACUCCUACGGGAGGCAGCAGUGGGGAAUCUUGCGCAAGUGGGCGAAAGCCUGACGCAGCGACGCCGCGUGAGGGAUGACGGCCU